CCUACGGGAGGCAGCAGUAGGGAAUAUUGCUCAAUGGGGGAAACCCUGAAGCAGCAACGCCGCGUGGAGGAUGAAGGUUUUCGGAUUGUAAACUCCUUUUGUUAGAGAAGAUAAUGACGGUAUCUAACGAAUAAGCACCGGCUAACUCCGUGCCAGCUGCCGCGGUAAUACGGAGGGUGCAAGCGUUACUCGGAAGCACUGGGCGUAAAGCGCGCGUAGGCGGGAUAGCAAGUCAGAUGUGAAAUCCUAUGGCUUAACCAUAGAACUGCAUUUGAAACUGUUAUUCUAGAGUAUGGGAGAGGUAGGUGGAAUUCUUGGUGUAGGGGUAAAAUCCGUAGAGAUCAAGAGGAAUACUCAUUGCGAAGGCGACCUGCUAGAACAUAACUGACGCUGAUGCGCGAAAGCGUGGGGAGCAAACAGGAUUAGAUACCCUGGUAGUC
rnacentral:rRNA from 1 species